UUGCGUAGGUGGCAUAGUAAGCAGGUAGUGAAAGCGUGUGGCUCAACCAUACUCACAUUAUCUGAACUGCUAAGCUAGAGUACAUGAGAGGUAGUUGGAAUUCCUAGUGUAGGAGUGAAAUCCGUAGAUAUUAGGAGGAACACCAAUGGCGUAGGCAGACUACUGGCAUGUUACUGACACUAAGGCACGAAAGCGUGGGGAGCGAACG
rnacentral:rRNA from 1 species